CAAAUUUGCUAGGUUUGAGUCUUCCUGCAUCAUUCACAUAUACUAUUGGUUUUGCAACCCAAUGGUGAUCAGUUUUUCCUUAUUGCUACAUACCAGGGACUAUUUUACUUACAAACAUAUUAAAACGGUUUACACACACAGACUUACACAUGAACUCGCUCAACUUUUUGUUGACUUUUUAAACUACAUGUAUCUCAGGGAGUUAAUUGGAUCUGGCAAGUGACGCAUGUUAGCUGCGUACUUAAUAAGGAUGUCAUCCAGAGUUGUAGGGUUUGGGAAGUGCAACUCCUUCCUGGACGAGUUGCAUGUCUCUUAUCCUUGUUUUGUUGCUAGUCUUUCGUUGAGUCUUACGAACUCGUUUUAAACAAGUAAUGUUUUGUAAUGCAUUUUGUGGUUGAGACAAUAUGUUAUGCAUUUUUAACUAUUUUAAUGGAUGAACAUCAUAUAUUUUUUUAUCAUAUAACAUUGUUGUGAUUGUUUCUAUGUUAUUAAGACGUCACACCAAAUAAACCCACGCUUCCGCAAAAGCCAGGGUGUGACAAUAUAUGAAGACAUCCUUUAAGUAUGGAGCCUUAGAUCAUCUUCAUCAUUUCAAGUUCACCCUCACUCUUCACUCACUCUCUCUCUCUUUCGGCUCACCCCAAACCGCCACCAUCACCACCAUUUUUACAUCACCAUCUUCAUCAUAUUCAAGCUCCAUUCAAGCCUUGAAGGUGAUUCAUGGAGGUUGCAAGUUGAGGAACAUUCAAGGGAGCUUUGUUCUAGUCUUGUUCAUCAUCUUUUCUCAUCAUCUUUGCACUAGAUUCUACCCUAGCCUUGUGCUAGUAGUCGUCGCAUAGCAGACAGUGUUCGGAUUGACGACUCGAUUCAGAUGACGCAGUACAACGCUAUGUCUUCAUCGAGUAGGGUCUCUGUCCCAGUGCCGGUAGAUUCUGACGACCCGAUGCACUCAGACCCGGAGAUCUACACAUAGACCCUCAUUUUGCGGACACCCGUAAUGGGUGGAUCGAGGAGGAUAACUACCCUCCGUAUGUGGUACCAGUCACUCCUCCUACGGCACCUGUUACUGCACCACUUGAUAUCCCAUUUUUCCAUCCACACACAUCUGAUACCCAUCGUACCGAUCUUCCGAUUACCUUCCUCCAGGACAUUCCUCCGCCACGACCCGAGGAGGGAUCGUCGAGGCAGCCUUUUGGCCACAUACCAUUUAUGUCAGGAGAUGCUCAAUUUAUACCGCAGAUUCCUUAUCCUGGUUUUGUUCCACCCAUGUCGUCUACUGUACCUGUCACGUCUCCCUUUCCCCAUACUACUUUACCGUUUAUAUCUGCCCCACACACUACUUAUCCAGUUUCAGCUCCGAUGGUGAGCCAUUUCUAUGGACAUCGCCCCAUGUUAUGCCAUUAUCCGACCCUUAUCACCCAUUUAACGGCGGAUACACUACAGAGGACACACUUACGUCACUGCAGCUACAGCAGGACGCCCUGAGUCGAUGUAUUCAGGAGUUGGAGAGAGCUCCACGUCCUCCAUGCCACUGCCAGACCCCGUUUGCAGCACCACACACUCCUUUUCCAUCACUCUCUGAUUCAGAUAUUCGUUUCCUUCCUCUUGACCAGCAGGUUGCUUACCUGCUGCGUUUCGCCUAUGCCCUUGAGGAGGACUUGGUGCAUUUGCGCCGGUUGCUUUUCUCUCACUUUCCACCUCCUCCGCCGCCAUCAACAUAGCUACUUUUGGUUUAUUGCAGGUAGUGAUUACUUUUGAUGAGAAGACAACGAUUGAGGCAGACUAUACAGCAUUUUGAAGACCACAUUUCGACAUUAUGACUUUGGAUAUUUGAUUUUUGCUUGUUGUAUUUGUCUAGACAGUUCAGACAAGGGCAUUGUGACCCUUAGUCUCUUUUGGGUUGUACGAUACAUUUGGAAAAGCUUGUAAACAUUGUAUUGUGGUCUUGAUUAUAUGAAAGCUCAAUCGCGGUAUUCUCAUUA